GGCGACUUUGUCUCAUUUUCUUUUGUGUUCUGAGCACCUGACCUGGGCAGCCCUGGAGGCAGCUGUGUGAGGAUGGAGUCUCACUCUGUCGCCCAGGCUGGAGUGCAGUGGCACCAUCUCAUCUCACUGCAACCUCCGCCUCCCCAGGUUCAAGCAAUUCUCAUGCCUCAGCCUCCCAAAUAGCUGGGACUACAGGUGUACAGGACACCUUCCGUCAUGGGAUGAUGCUGCCGGAGGGCUCUCACCGGAUACGGCCCCUCGACUUUGGACUUCCCAACCUCCAGAACGGCGCAAAAUAAAUUUUUCUUUAUAAA